CAGCCGCCGCGGUAAUACGAAGGGGGCUAGCGUUGCUCGGAAUUACUGGGCGUAAAGGGAGCGUAGGCGGACAUUUAAGUCAGGGGUGAAAUCCCGGGGCUCAACCUCGGAAUUGCCUUUGAUACUGGGUGUCUUGAGUAUGAGAGAGGUAUGUGGAACUCCGAGUGUAGAGGUGAAAUUCGUAGAUAUUGGGAAGAACACCAGUGGCGAAGGCGGCUCACUGGACCGACACUGACGCUGAGGCGCGAAAGCGCGGGGAGCAAACAGGAUUAGAUACCCGCGUAGUCCCUGUCUCUUAUAC
rnacentral:rRNA from 1 species